GGGAAAUCUUACCGGGUCCGGACAUACCGAGGAUUGACAGACUGUUAACUGCAACACAAGCUGCUAAGUUUUAAACUUAAUAGCUCUUUCAUGAUUAUAUGAUAGGUGGUGCAUGGCCGUUCUUAGUUCGUGGAGUGAUCUGUCUGCUUAAUUGCGUUUCAAAAUUUAAACCUGAGCGACAAGGUGCUGCUAUCGAAACUGUCUUUGAGUGUGAACUAUAAGUCUUUUGACUUAUGACCAUCACUCUAGACGUUUAUGUUUUGGUGUUGGCCCUUGAUGCUCAUUUGAACGCAACGGACGUGAUUGCAACCCCUUGUUGAGAUUUAUCCGAUCUCUACGUUCACUGAACCACACUCUUUAGCGAGAGCAGUGGGGAUGUGGAUAAACUCGGGGGACUGCUGACUAUAAACUUUUCUCAAACCAGAGGAAGGUUGCGGCAAUAACAGGUCUGUGAUGCCCUCAGAU
rnacentral:rRNA from 1 species